ACGCUCGACACCUACUGGAGGCAGCAGUGGGGAAUAUUGCACAAUGGGGGAAACCCUGAUGCAGCGACGCCGCGUGGAGGAAGAAGGUCUUCGGAUUGUAAACUCCUGUUGUUGGGGAAAAAGAGGAUGGUACCCAACAAGGAAGUGACGGCUAACUACGUCGCACAGCCGCGGUAAUCUGAGCGGGCUGGCAAGGC
rnacentral:rRNA from 1 species